rnacentral:rRNA from 1 species
GGACUACUCGGGUAUCUAAUCCUGUUUGCUCCCCUUGCUCUCGCGCCUCAGCGUCAGGAAAUGAGCUAGAGAACCGCUUUCGCCACCGGUGUUCUUCCACAUAUCUACGCAUUUCACCGCUACACGUGGAAUUCCGUUCUCUCCGCCUAUCCUCAAGAAAUAUAGUUUCAAAUGCAGCUCCGAAGUUGAGCCUCGGAAUUUCACAUCUGACUUACAUCUCCGCCUACGCGCCCUUUACGCCCAAUAAUUCCGAUUAAUGCUUGCACCCUCCGUAUUACCGCGGCUGCUGGCAC